AGCUCAGUGGAUAGAGCUCCCGCUUCAUGAACGGGAGGUCGCGGGUUCGAACCCCGGC
rfam:Strongylocentrotus purpuratus Contig143088_fixed, whole genome shotgun sequence.